UCUGUCAGAAACUUUGUUUAUUUUUAUUGUAAAGAUGGUAUAUCGAAUAGGAUUACUGGGUAAUAAGAUAAAAACAGGUCCAAAGAGUCAACAGAAUUCUUAGCAUAGUAUCUUCCAUGAGUCCAUGUGCCUCUCACCUUACUCUGCACAGUUCCUUUAGUGUAUUGUUAAGUGAUUUUAGCCAGCUUAUACUUGUUAAUACUAAAGGUGGGCUUUUCCUUCUUAUAUAGUAUGUAUAUACUUCUUAUGUAAUGUAUACACACACACAUAUAUUCAGGGAGACAGAGAGAAACAGAGAGAGACAGAGGGAAUAUUAGGUUUUUUUGUUUAUUUGUUUGUUUUACUAGAUAGCUCUGAUUAGUUUGGGAGUCACCAUUCUUUUUACCCUAGGCUCCCCAGAGCUGUGAUUAAACACAUGCCACCAUAGCUGAUUACUCCAUUAUAUAAUAAAGUGUUAUUUCCCCUAUUGUAUAGAGAAACAUACCAGCAUAGUCUCAAGUUUUUAAAUAGAAUAGGAAUCUCUGAAGGAAUUUCAGAAUUAUUAUCAUUGUACAUUAUUUCUUAAAUUUCAUGGAAGCAAACAUUGAUGCUUUGGUUUUAUUAAAAAUGUUUAUCCUUGAUUAACAGUUUUCAAAAGGAGGUGUGCAAACUGGAUUUCUCGAGGCUGUGUUGGAUGAAUUGCAUACCUUUCUCCAAGCCCAGCAGAGUCAGUGUUUCGCAGAUGUACAGACUAAAGCAGUGCCUUCGUCCACAGUCUUCACAUGUGUGUGUUCCUUAGUCAUUUAAUCACUGAAGUGGGGUCAGCUGGAGACCACCCAAGUCAGGUUUUUACCUGGAGAAACUCCUUCUAUAUCACAUGACAGGAUGGCAACUGUAGACUCUGGAUCAAGACUGGUCCUCUACCUAUUUUAGUGGACUUGACCUCAUCUUCCUUCCUGGCCUCGGGUUUGACAAAGAUGGCAACCGGCUGGGGCGGGGUAAGGGGUACUAUGACACCUACCUGAAGCGCUGUGUACAGCAUCAGGAAGUGAAGCCCUACACCAUGGCUUUGGCUUUUAAAGAGCAGAUCUGUCCCCAGAUCCCAGUGGAUGAGCAUGACAUGAAGGUAGAUGAAGUCCUUUAUGAAGAUUCCCAGCAUUCUAAGUUACACCACAACGGCUACACUUACUGCUCUGUCCCGGUGUAAAGAACAUAUGUAUAUUUUUCUCUUGUCAAAAUGAAUCAAAAUGGCACAUUAAAGUGAAUAUGGGUUGUGAUUUUAAGUGUAAAAAUAAAAUAAUAUAAAAUCCUA